AUUGAACGCUGGCGGCAUGCCUUACACAUGCAAGUCGAACGGCAGCACGGGUGCUUGCACCUGGUGGCGAGUGGCGAACGGGUGAGUAAUACAUCGGAACAUGUCCUGUAGUGGGGGAUAGCCCGGCGAAAGCCGGGUUAAUACCGCAUACGAACUUCGGAUGAAAGCGGGGGACCUUCGGGCCUCGCGCUAUAGGGUUGGCCGAUGGCUGAUUAGCUAGUUGGUGGGGUAAAGGCCUACCAAGGCGACGAUCAGUAGCUGGUCUGAGAGGACGACCAGCCACACUGGGACUGAGACACGGCCCAGACUCCUACGGGAGGCAGCAGUGGGGAAUUUUGGACAAUGGGCGAAAGCCUGAUCCAGCAAUGCCGCGUGUGUGAAGAAGGCCUUCGGGUUGUAAAGCACUUUUGUCCGGAAAGAAAUCCUUGGCCCUAAUACGGUCGGGGGAUGACGGUACCGGAAGAAUAAGCACCGGCUAACUACGUG
rnacentral:rRNA from 1 species